GACGUCGCAACCUGAUGGUCAGGCGGCUGCCUGCAACGCAGCUUGGCGCGGGUUCGAUUCCCGUCGGCGUCU
rnacentral:tRNA from 1 species